UUUGUUGACUUGUGUAGCAGGACAUCCCAGGUCAGAGUCACAGCCUCUGAGAGCUGUGGUUUCCCUCACUGCUCUGAGGUCUCCUGAAACUUACACAUCUGUGUCUGACCUAGGAAUCUCUAACAAGGUUUGACCUGCGCCUUUAACGUCUGUGUCUGACCUAGGAAUCUCUAACAAGGUUUGACCUGCGCCUUUAACGUCUGUGUCUGACCUGGGAAUCUCUAACAAGGUUUGACCUGCGCCUUUAACGUCUGUGUCUGACCUGGGAAUCUCUAACAAGGUUUGACCUGCGCCUUUAACGUCUGUGUCUGACUUAGGAAUCUCUAACAAGGUUUGACCUGCGCCUUUAACGUCUGUGUCUGACUUAGGAAUCUCUAACAAGGUUUGACCUGUGCCUUUAACGUCUGUGUCUGACUUAGGAAUCUCUAACAAGGUUUGACCUGCGCCUUUAACGUCUGUGUCUGACCUGGGAAUCUCUAACAAGGUUUGACCUGCGCCUUUAACGUCUGUGUCUGACCUGGGAAUCUCUAACAAGGUUUGACCUGCGCCUUUAACGUCUGUGUCUGACCUGGGAAUCUCUAACAAGGUUUGACCUGCGCCUUUCACGUCUGUGUCUGACCUGGGAAUCUCUAACAAGGUUUGACCUGCGCCUUUAACGUCUGUGUCUGACCUGGGAAUCUCUAACAAGGUUUGACCUGCGCCUUUAACGUCUGUGUCUGACCUGGGAAUCUCUAACAAGGUUUGACCUGCGCCUUUAACGUCUGUGUCUGACUUAGGAAUCUCUAACAAGGUUUGACCUGCGCCUUUAACGUCUGUGUCUGACUUAGGAAUCUCUAACAAGGUUUGACCUGUGCCUUUAACGUCUGUGUCUGACUUAGGAAUCUCUAACAAGGUUUGACCUGCGCCUUUAACGUCUGUGUCUGACCUGGGAAUCUCUAACAAGGUUUGACCUGCGCCUUUAACGUCUGUGUCUGACCUGGGAAUCUCUAACAAGGUUUGACCUGCGCCUUUAACGUCUGUGUCUGACCUGGGAAUCUCUAACAAGGUUUGACCUGCGCCUUUAACGUCUGUGUCUGACUUAGGAAUCUCUAACAAGGUUUGACCUGUGCCUUUAACGUCUGUGUCUGACUUAGGAAUCUCUAACAAGGUUUGACCUGCGCCUUUAACGUCUGUGUCUGACCUGGGAAUCUCUAACAAGGUUUGACCUGCGCCUUUAACGUCUGUGUCUGACCUGGGAAUCUCUAACAAGGUUUGACCUGCGCCUUUAACGUCUGACUAGUUCUCUAGUCCUUCUGCUCCACUCCGCAUGCCCACCCUGUUUGUUGGGAGCCUGCCCUGCCCUGAGCCUCCCUCUUUGUGUGACUUGCUUUGCUUUUGUCAAAAUACCUGUCAACUGAAGUUACCACACACUCUAUGCAAGAUAAACCCUAUGGAAUUGGGCACUUUACCACACCCAAGCUUUGCUUGUUCGUUAAUACCUAGAAGAAUCUCCCAUUCAAUGCGAACGAUGAAUAAACUCAACUUAUGAAAGAAUUUUCCUGCAUGAGCUUAGUGGAUGGGAGCUCCUGUGGCUUGCAGAUGUUCAAGUCUGCUCCCCAACAGACUCCACGCUUGGUGCCCACUCCCUUGAUGUUCAGAGAUGAUGGAAGCUCAGCCACGGAACUAGGCUACUGGGCAAAAAGGCCUCUGAAGAAAUUAAGGCCUUUCUUCCUCAGCAUGAGAAGCAGUCAUCAUAAAAGAGAGCCUACAGCUGGACCCCUCCUGGAUUGUUGUACGGCCACAUGAUGUCUUCAUUAUGAGUUUCCCUGGCACAAUGACGCCUUCCUCUACCUCUGCAUCUGUCUGCAAAGUGCCACAGAGACCAGUGACGUUUAUGUUUAGUUCUUUGAACUAAAUAAAGCUCUCAUCUUUCUGAACUACCCAGGCCAAGGCGUUUUGUUUGGGCCGACACAGAAGAAGACAUACCGCACUAAGAAAGUACAAUAUAUCUGAUUUCUAACUAUUGUGUACAUUUGUUUUAACUGCUUUACUGGGCACAGCAUUGUAGAUUUCUAUAGAUACAUGGGCACACGGUCUCCCCUACUUCCUUCAUACAACUCUCUAGAUAUUUGAGCAAUGGGGCAGGGGUAUGCUCAUGUUUAAUAAUGUUAUAUACCAUGGUAAAUGAAGAGCCAUCACUGCUUUGAUUCUCUACCCCCCUUUGUGUGGGAAUUUAAUUUUUAUUAGCAGUUAUGUUAAUAGUCAACAUUAAUAAUUUCAAAGGCAAAAUGGUUGUGUAUUUCAUAGGUUAUUAAUAGGUAUACUCUAUCACAGUAAUUUAUGAAUUACUUUUUGGGCCUCCUUCCAUGGUCCUAUCUUGAAGAUUUUCAAUAAAAGCAAUUAUCAUCUA